rnacentral:misc_RNA from 1 species
UCCGGUUUAACACCGGCAGUCCCUUUAGAGUGCCCAACUGAAUGAUGGCAACUAAAGGCGAGGGUUGCGCUCGUUGCGGGACUUAACCCAACAUCUCACGACACGAGCUGACGACAGCCAUGCAGCACCUCGACCGGACCUCCUUGCGGAGUAGCGGCGUUUCCACCGCCAUUAACCGGCCGUUCGGGCCCAGGUAAGGUUCUUCGCGUUGCGUCGAAUUGAACCACAUGCUCCACCGCUUGUGCGGGCCCCCGUCAAUUCCUUUGAGUUUCAGCCUUGCGACUGUACUCCCCAGGCGGCAUAUUUAACGCGUUAGCUCCGGCACAGAUCAACUGAAUGACCUACACCAAAUAUGCAUCGUUUAGGGCGUGGACUAC